rnacentral:ncRNA from 1 species
AACCGCUAGGGGUGCUCCAGGCUGAGAAUCCCGAUAUGGUCGGGAUAACCCUAGAAACCUGAACUCGGUAAUACGAGCGUAGGGAAGCG